rnacentral:snoRNA from 1 species
CCCCUCUCAGGGUCGCAUCUGGAGAGUUUCCAGUAUUCUACCAGUCUCGGCUCCGGGAGGGGGAGUCGAGCAGAGGCUUAUCCAUUCCGUUCUUAGCUUGGGCAGCGGCUAGCGAGUGGAAGGCCGUCUGCUCCAAAU